UACGUAGGUGGCAAGCGUUAUCCGGAAUCAUUGGGCGUAAAGGGUGCGUAGGUGGCGUACUAAGUCUGUAGUAAAAGGCAAUGGCUCAACCAUUGUAAGCUAUGGAAACUGGUAUGCUGGAGUGCAGAAGAGGGCGAUGGAAUUCCAUGUGUAGCGGUAAAAUGCGUAGAUAUAUGGAGGAACACCAGUGGCGAAGGCGGUCGCCUGGUCUGUAACUGACACUGAGGCACGAAAGCGUGGGGAGC
rnacentral:rRNA from 1 species